AUUGAACGCUGGCGGCAGGCCUAACACAUGCAAGUCGAACGAGUGGCGGACGGGUGAGUAAUGUCUGGGAAACUGCCCGAUGGAGGGGGAUAACUACUGGAAACGGUAGCUAAUACCGCAUACCAUCGGAUGUGCCCAGAUGGGAUUAGCUUGUAGGUGAGGUAACGGCUCACCUAGGCGACGAUCCCUAGAUGGGCUGAGAGGAUGACCAGCCACACGGGAACGGAGACACGGUCCAGACGCCUAGGGGAGGCAGCAGUGGGGAAUAUUGCACAAGGGGCGCAAGCCGGAUGCAGCCAGGGCGCGGGGAGGAAGAAGGCCGUCGGGUUGUAAAGUACUUUCAGCGGGGAGGCGGUACCCGCAGAAGAAGCACCGGCGAACUCCGUGCCAGCAGCCGCGGUAAUUC
rnacentral:rRNA from 1 species